UUUACUAAGUUAAAAAAUGAAAUCUAGAAAAUAGGACUCGAAACAAUACGUUUUGAUACAAAUAGGAUGUUUACUUUUUUCAAUAUUGUAUAUUUCUUCAUUUCUUUCCAACGAUAUGGCAAAACAUGGUUCUGAUUCAGUUCAGCGAUGAGAAGGGAACAUCAACAAAUUUGCUUAUUGUUUCUUGGCACAUUAUCAACCAUGACAGAGGAGAAUCCCAAGACAAUUGUUUAAAGACUGUCUUUGUUGGAUUGAUUUCUUCAAGUCUUUCUCACGACCAUUGGAUCUAUUUUGCUUAUUGUUUCUUGGCACAUUACCAACCAUGCAACCAGAGAUCUUUGUGUCAAAAACAUUAAUAUUAUCCUAGUGACAAACUAAUAUCUUUCAUAUAAUAUAAUUCAUUCAUGUAAUUCUUAUCAGCUUUAUUGCUUAAACAUAUAAAUUCUACCAAUAUAAACUAUUUGAUCAUUGACUAAUUGAGGCAAUGGUUUCUUAACAACCACGGUUUUUGGAUAAACAAAAAUAUGUACGGUAAGCAAUAUAACAUUUGUC
rnacentral:lncRNA from 1 species